rnacentral:lncRNA from 14 species
GGUGGUUUGUCUUGGUCUGUCAUCACAUCAACACAGUCAGUGGACUCUGGUGAUGCUUGGGAGCAGCUGGUGAGGAGCUGAUGGGGCUGGUGUGUGAGUCACUGCAUGGAUGUGCAAUGAUCUUGCCUUGAGCUUCCAGUCAACAAUGUGAUAGGGAUGCAGAAAAACAGGCAGUGAGGCAGAGGAUGACACUGCAGUAAGAAAGCACAGGAGAAGGAAUUAAAACAAGGGCUGGAGAAAUUUGGCAACCAGAAGAUUCAUGGUAAAAUUGCUUGUUGACUGUCUUGAUCAGUGCCCCAAAAGAGACAGAAACAGGACAGAUCAGCAGAGCUGUGAUAGGCCAUGACAGCAACAAGCUGAAUACUGGUUUUGGAGGAAGGAGAAAUGAAUCUGUCCAUUAUGUAUAUGAUGGGAAGCAGUGAUACAGUGAGCAACAGAUACACUGGUUGUGAUCAAGGGUUUGUAGUUUCAAGAGAAUGACUUUCAACUUGGUUUCAUAGAAGUGGGCUGGUGUAGAUAGGGCUACAGCUUUAAGGGAGGGUGGGGAAGCUGUUCAGAGGUGAUCCUCAUGGGCAGAGCAAUGAGCUUGGAAUGAAGUCAGCUGUUGAGCAAAGCAGUUGGCCAUUGAAUCAUCCAUAACACCUGGUGCAAAGGAACCAGCAGUUUCAUGCAGAAGCUACUGAAGGGGAUGUCUUCAUUUUCCUCCAUGCAGGUUCUCUGCUGAGCUGAUUGGUAAAAUCAGGCUCUCCCAGAGGAAGGUGCGGAAGCUCAUCAUCUCAGAGGCAAAAUUUCAACUCCAGAAGCAUUGCUGUUACAAGAUUUCAGCCUCUGCAGACCUGCCUACAGUCAGAAACGCAACAGACCAAUCUGCAGUGUGACUCCCGUGUGAAGACCUGGGAUUGUCAAGUGUGGAGACAACAGAAGUGGCUGGCUCCUGGGACAGUCCUUCAGCCAUGGUCCUUCAGAGAGAGGAGGGAGGCAGGCAGCCAGACCUGCUCAUUCAGCUGUGAGGGAGCUAAAGGUUGGAGACACUUACGACCAAUGGAUCUGUGAAGACAGACACAUAAGUGCAAAUAUCCCCUGUCCUACUACUGCAAAGGGCAAUAAAAGCUGCUAUCCACCC